CAAUAGCGUAUAUUAAAGUUGUUGCGGUUAAAAAGCUCGUAGUUGGAUUUCUGCUGAGAACGACCGGUCCGCCCUUUGGGUGUGUAUCUGGCUCUUUCUUGGCAUCUUCUUGGUGAACGUUGCUGCACUUGACUGUGUGGAGCGCUACCCAGGACUUUUACUUUGAGGAAAUUAGAGUGUUUCAAGCAGGCAUACGCCUUGAAUACAUUAGCAUGGAAUAAUAAGAUAGGACCUCGGUUCUAUUUUGUUGGUUUCUAGAGCUGAGGUAAUGAUUAAUAGGGAUAGUUGGGGGCAUUCGUAUUUAACUGUCAGGGGUGAAAUUCUUGGAUUUGUUAAAGACGGACUACUGCGAAAGCAUUUGCCAAGGAUGUUUUCAUUGA
rnacentral:rRNA from 1 species